rnacentral:rRNA from 1 species
GUCCACGCCGUAAACGAUGGACACUAGCCGUUCGAAGCAUUAACCCUUUGAGUGGCAAAGUUAACACAUUAAGCAUCCCGCCUGGGGAGUACGAGCGCAAGCUUAAAACUCAAAGGAAUUGACGGGGACCUGCACAAGCAGUGGAGCGUGUGGUUUAAUUCGAUACAAAACGAAAAACCUCACCAGGGUUUGACAUGUAGCUGCAAGCGCACGGAAACGUGUGAUCUUCGAGAGUGCUACACAGAUGCUGCAUGGCUGUCGUCAGCUCGUGGCGUGAGCUGUUUCCUUAAGUGGAUAAACGAGCGCAACCCGCACCGUAUGUUAAAUAAUCCAUGCGGAACCGCCUCAUUUUUUGAGGAGGAAGGCGCGGAUGAUGUCAAGUCAGCACGGCUCUUACACCCUGGGCUACACACACACUACAAUGGCGAAUAACAACGAGCUGCAAACUGGUGACAGUAAGC